rnacentral:rRNA from 1 species
GACGAACGGCUGGCGGCGUGCCUAACACAUGCAAGUCGAGCGGAGUCGAUCGACGGAAGCCUUCGGGCGGAAGAUGGUUGACUUAGCGGCGGAUGGGUGAGUAACGCGUGGGCAACCUGCCUCGAAGACCGGGAUAACAGCCCGAAAGGGCUGCUAAUACCGGAUGUGGUCAAGGAUCCGCAUGGAUUUUUGAUUAAAGGGGAAACCCGUUUCGAGAUGGGCCCGCGUCCUAUCAGCUAGUUGGUGAGGUAAAAGCUCACCAAGGCGACGACGGGUAGCCGGCCUGAGAGGGUGACCGGCCACACUGGAACUGAGACACGGUCCAGACUCCUACGGGGGGCAGCAGUGGGGAAUCUUCCACAAUGGGCGAAAGCCUGAUGGAGCGACGCCGCGUGAGCGAAGAAGGCCUUCGGGUUGUAAAGCUCUGUCUGGAGGGACGAAGGAAGUGACGGUACCUCCGGAGGAAGCCACGGCUAACUACGUG